rnacentral:rRNA from 1 species
GAUGAACGCUGGCGGCGUGCUUAACACAUGCAAGUCGAGCGAGUGAGUUCUUCGGAACGAUCUAGCGGCGGACGGGUGAGUAACACGUGGGCAACCUGCCUCAUAGAGGGGAAUAGCCUCCCGAAAGGGAGAUUAAUACCGCAUAAAAUUAUCGAGUGGCAUCACAUGAUAAUCAAAGGAGUAAUCCGCUAUGAGAUGGGCCCGCGGCGCAUUAGCUAGUUGGGGAGGUAACGGCUCACCAAGGCGACGAUGCGUAGCCGACCUGAGAGGGUGAUCGGCCACAUUGGGAAUGAGACACGGCCCAGACUCCUACGGGAGGCAGCAGUGGGGAAUAUUGCACAAUGGGGGAAACCCUGAUGCAGCAACGCCGCGUGAGUGAUAAAGGUCUUCGGAUUGUAAAGCUCUGUCUUUGGGGACGAUAAUGACGGUACCCAAGGAGGAAGCCACGGCUAACUACGUGCCAGCCGCCGCCGUAA